rnacentral:hammerhead_ribozyme from 1 species
AUCCAGCUGACCAGUCCCAAAUAGGACGAAACGCGUGUCCUGGAU